UGACAAAUUUCAAUAUCAAUUGGUAGUUAAUUUAUCCUGGUGCUAGCUGACCCCCUCAUUUUUGCCUCAAGGGUAAACCAUAGACAACCAGAUAUUACAGAUACAUUGGAGUGUCAAGUGAUGGUGACCCAAGGUCAAAUUCGCAGGAAAAUUCCUGUUUAUUGGGGGUGACUCUGCGAGCAAGAUCUUGUUUUGUUGUGUAAUUUGAUGAAAUUUUCUGGGCAUUGUAUUUAAGAUUGUGGGUUAAUGUUUGUCACAUUUCAAGUGAAAUUCACCAAAACUUCCAGUGAAAAUGCAAAUGCCCCAUGAUUAUUAUUUUAGAAAAAAAAA
rnacentral:misc_RNA from 1 species